rnacentral:rRNA from 1 species
CAACCGCCCGUCACACCAUGGGAGUCGAUUGCUCCAGAAGUGCCUGAGCCAACCGCAAGGAGGCAGGGCCCAAGGAGUGAUCGGUAACUGGGGUG